CCUGGGCUGAGCCGAGCUGGGUUAAGCCGAGCUGGGCUAGGCUGGGUUGGGCUGGGCUGAGCCAGGCUGGGU
rnacentral:miRNA from 1 species